UCUAUGACUUAAAGUUUUAAAGUUAUAAGGUUUAACAGUAAGCACAAAAGCAUUAAAGGGCAGUAACUCAUUCAAGGAGUCACCAGAUCUUAUUGCGCUUGAACAUAAAAGUUUUGCCUAAAAUCCCAUCAGACAUUAGAGAAGUUUUCAUGUCUUUUCGGUUUACGGUUUUGGAGCAAUAGCAAAUAAAAUGUUUUUUGCACAAGGGGCAAUAACUUUUAAUAGGGUCAAUCUUAAGGGACAAGAAUGAAAUCUUUGAAACAGUUUUAAGAGUACAUAUUAAUGAUUCUAAGACAGUUUGUAUAUGUUAAGAGACAAAAAAAGAUAUAAAAAGAGCCUAAUUUCUCAAUUUUGGAAUGACCUUGACCUUUGACCUUUACAUGACUUUUAAGCUCAAAGCUCAAUGAAUCUUAUGCAAUUGGUCUCAUGUCUCUACACUUUCUCGUUUUGAAAAUUUUUAAUUAUUUCUAAAAUUCAAAGACUUUCAGGGGCAAUAACUCAUUGAAGGGUCACCGAAUACUUUCGCAAUGAAUAGAUUCCAGAGUCCUCUCAAUGAGUCAAAGACGUUAGUGAAGGUUUCAUAUUUCUACGGUUUACGGUUUCGAAGGAGUAGCGAUAACAAGCAUUUCUUGCGAAAGGGGCAAUAACUUUUAAUAGGGUCAAUCUUACGGAAUACGAAUUGAAUCUUUAAUAUAGUUUUAAGAGUACAUAUUAAUGAUGCUAAGACAGUUUGUAUAUGUUAAGAGACAAAAAAGAUAUAAAAAGAGCUUAAUUUCUCAAUUUUGGAAUGACCUUGACCUUUGACCUUUACAUGAAUUUUAAGAUCAAAGCUCAAUGAAUCUUAUGCAGUUGGUCCCAUGUCUCUAUCACUUCUCGUUUCAAAAAUUUUUAAUUAUUUGUAAAAUUCAAAAAGUUUCAGGGGCAAUAACUCAUUGAAGGAGUCACCGAAUACUUUCGCAAUGAAUAGAUUCCAGAGUCCUCUCAAUGAGUCGAAGACUUUAGUGAAGGUUUCAUAUUUCUACGGUUUACGGUUUCGAAGGAGUAGCGAUAACAAGCAUUUCUUGCAAAAGGGGCAAUAACUUCGAAAGCGGACAUAGUUCAUACGCGUUGGGUCAAAUUUGUUCAUAACUUUUAAUGACCUUUACGAUGAACAAAAAGUCUUUUCGAUAAAUGUCGAAACAAAAAAUCAGCGGAAGAAGAAUAAUAAUAAUAACUAGGAGACUUAUUGUUCACAGAACAAUAAGAGGUCUUUCCACCUUCUCUGAAUUUGUAUUUUGUUUUGUAUCUAACUCCUUAAAUACCAUAAGAAAAAGCCAAAAAAAAUGGCUUAAAAGAUAAAAAGAUGUAGAAAAAAAUGAAAAUCUUUAAAAUUUGAAAUGACCUUGACCUUUGACCUUGAAUAAAUUUUCAAGGUCAAAGGUCAAGAGUCACAUUGCACUUGACCCCAUGCCUCUACGACUUUUAGUUCUGAAGUUAUUAUGUUUAAUAGUAAGUACAAAGAAGUUAAAGGGCAAUAACUCAUAUAAAGGGUCAUCAGAUCCUUUCGCACUAAUACAAUGAAGUUAGGCCUAAAGACCCUCAAGAUAUUAGUGAAGGUUUGGUGUCUCUAAGGUCUACAGCUUCAGAGGAGUAGCGAUAACAAGGUUUUUCGCACAAGGGGCAAUAACUUUUAAAAGGGUUAAUCUUAGGGGACAAGAAUGAAAUCUUUGAAACAGUAUUAAGAGUACAUAUUAAUGAUGCAUAGACAUUAAGUAUAUGUUGAAAGACAAGAGAGAUAUAAAAAGAGCUUAAUUUCUCAGUUUUGGAAUGACCUUGACCUUUGACCUUUCCAUAAAUUUUAAGACCAAAGGUCAAUAAAUCUUAUGCAGUUAGUCCCAUGUCUCUACAACUUCUCGUUUUGAAAAUUUUUAAUUAUU